rnacentral:rRNA from 1 species
UAGUCCACGCUGUAAACGAUGAGUGCUAGGUGUCGGCGAAUGUCGGUGCCGCAGUUAACACAAUAAGCACUCCGCCUGGGGAGUACGUGCGCAAGCAUGAAACUCAAAGGAAUUGACGGGGGCCCGCACAAGCGGUGGAUUAUGUGGUUUAAUUCGAAGCAACGCGCAGAACCUUACCUAGGCUUGAAACCCCUCGAAUCCCGAGUAAUUUUUGGGAGUGCCCGCAAGGGAAUGAGGUGACAGGUGCUGCAUGGCUGUCGUCAGCUCGUGUUGUGAAAUGUUGGGUUAAGUCUCGCAACGAGCGCAACCCCGUAUCUUUAGUUGCCAGCAUUAAGUUGGGCACUCUAGAGAGACUGCCCGGGGUUUAACCGGGAGGAAGGUGGGGGAUGACGUCAAGUCCUCAUGGCCCUUAUGCCUAGGGCUACACACGUAAUACAAUGGUGCAUACAGAGGGAAGCGAUCGGGUGACCGUUAGCAAAUCUCAAAAGUGCAUCUCAGUCCGGAUUGG